GACGAACGCUGGCGGCGCGCUUAACACAUGCCAGUCGAACGGAAAGGCCUGCUCUCCCUUGUGGAUUGCGGGUACUCGAGUGGCGAACGGGUGAGUAACACGUGAGUGAUCUGCCCCCAACUUGGGUAUAAGCCUGGGAAACUGGGUCUAAUUCCCGAUAGGACUGCAGGGUGGUGCCUGUGGUGGAAAACGAUUUUCUAGUGGUUGGGGAUGAGCUCGCGGCCUAUCAGCUUGUUGGUGGGGUAAUGGCCUACCAAGGCGGCGACGGGUAGCCGGCCUGAGAGGGUGGACGGCCACAUUGGGACUGAGAUACGGCCCAGACUCCUACGGGAGGCAGCAGUGGGGAAUAUUGCACAAUGGGCGGAAGCCUGAUGCAGCGACGCCGCGUGGGGGAUGACGGCCUUCGGGUUGUAAACUCCUUUCGACCGCGAGGAAGCCACCUGGUUGGAAGGGUGGUGACGGUAGUGGUAGAAGAAGCACCGGCUAACUACGUG
rnacentral:rRNA from 1 species